GAUAUUUAAGCAAAACAGGCUGCAUUUUUUUCGCCUCUUCUUUUUUUUUUUAUCUCGUCCUCAUGGGAGACUACGUCUAUGUAAAGAUGUCUUAUUUUUAGACGUACUCCAGAAAAGUGCUUAUUCUACACAAAAACGCAUUUGGAAUUUUCCAAGUUUUCGUAUACGGUAAGUAAUAAGAAUGGUUCUGUUUUCCGAGCGCACACUUUUCUCUCUUCCGAAUUCUUGUUUUACAUUAUAUAUUAUUGUAACGGAAGGCAGGGAAUAUUUUAUGGAAUUUCUCGCCACUCCAGACAGUCGAGUUCCAUUAUACACACUCGGUGAUUAUUAACCGAUUAUUGUAAGAUAAGAUAAAAAAAAUAUAUAUAUAGCAUUUUUUCCUUCAUUUUUUUUGCUAUUAUUUAUUAUCACCUCCGCACAUUUUGCAGCGAGAAGAAAAAUAACCGCAUAAAUCCAAUUGUUCAUCCAUCUGUUGGCCGCAUUCAUUUUCUUAAAGCGGAGAACGAAUCUUGCGUGAAAAGAUGCUCGCAACCGCUCUAUCUCCAACUAUUAUCGAAAUGGAAAGAGACGGUAUAAUCGAUCAAGGCACCACGUGCGAGAAAUGCACCCAGUCUAUACCCCAUUUCCGCAUCCACCUUACUACUACCACAGUUAGCAUCCACGUCUACGUGACAUACCACCUUCGACGCUACUUUGGAAACUCUCCUAAUGUUUCCCAGGAGUAUGUCUUUUGAAUGAGACCAAAUGGCUUGAUUACGUUUUCCUCUUCGCAUGUAGCAAAAAGGGCGGAACGGCUUCCACGCGGAAACAUCCAAAUCCCAUACCAUAACUAUAGCACGGCCCGGCCUAAUGUUCUUGUUGUUACAUAAAGACAUCAGCCGACGUCUAAAUGCAUUACAAAAGAACACGUUUAAUAAUCGAAUACGAAACGUUUUGGUGGAAAAAAACGAAAAAAAAAUUACGGCACGUCGAAUUGUGUCGACUUCACGCGAAUUUAAUGUCCAAAAAUUCAAAAUGCAGCCGGCUCUUCCAUAGAAAACGCGGUUAGGUAUAUAGAACAUGUGGAGCGAAGUAAUCCAACACCCCAACUACACAUCACUUGCAUUCUGGGACUGUUCAACGACGACCAAACCAUUAUUUGUAAGCGGGGAGAGAGAGAAGGGAAACAUUUUGAAUAUCGGUAUCCACCUCAUAAUACAAACCCCACGACCACAAAAGUUUUAAAGACAAAAUUUAAUUUCGCUGUCCUCAUCUAACAUUCUCAGUUUGCCAUCAAAGUUUUUCCUUGUUUACUUUUUUCCAAGUCAAACUAUUCUAUUUCCGAUGUUUUAUUUAUUUUUUACUACCCUUUACCGCACACAUAUCAGAUCGACCCUGAUAGUUAAUUAACCUUUGACCCGGGCCACAGCAGCAAAACCGAAUCGAGAAUACACCAUUCAGUUAGAUUCAGUUUCAUUCGAGUUUGAUUUCACCAGUUAAGAACCUUCCAAAAUCUGAUAAAAGAAAAAGAAAACUGUUUACGAUUUGGUAAACAUCUCGUGGAUGACUGAUUUGCAACAGGGCUCAUAUAUACAGGCUGGCUUUCAUUCAUAAAUAUAAAUGAAGCUGGGGAUAUAAAUUAUCGUAGAAUGGCCGUAAAAAUGAAUCUAGGUUAUCGGAAUCUCGCUUAACGUUCGAGUAAAAAAAGUUAAAAUAAUAAUAAUAAUAUCAGAACGAAAUAUAUUUUUUUUCGAGUAAAAAUUCGGGAAGUACCAGUAAUUAAGUCAGCGAUUAAUUUUAGGAAUGUUUUGUCUUAUUUAAUGAGCUCUCGACGUUCAUUCGCUGUUUAUCGAUACGUUACCGUGAUUUACUGUACAGUGAAGCUUGGAAGUGAUGAUGCUGCCGUUCCCAUAGUAACUGAACAUAUAUGGAAGAGACGAUCAAUGAAUAUUCAUUGUUUUGUUUCGGGGCGUAUCCACCUACUUUCAUACAGGCGUUGGAACCUUUUUGGUAAGGAUCCAAAUUCAUAAACUCUUAUAAGGAAACGUGGAAUAAUAUGCGUAGGAAGUACGUUUUAUACUAACUCAACUGGCUGGCGCCAAGUAGAAAUGCUGAUCGCCUACGUUCAAUAGAUGCUUAGAUGCCCCCGAGAGGAGAUUUGUGGUGUCAAAGGUGCUGGCAGCCCGGAGGUACUGUCUGACUUGGCGACAAUUGCACACAGCUUCGUUACCUCUCGCCACGCUAGCUUUUAAACAACGAAAUAUAUCUAGAAUGCAAAUAUAUGAUAAUGCCCCUGGCAGCUCCUCUUUAAUGGGAUGACAGUCGUUACUCUUGGUACUGUGUGGUUCAAAUUUCUCAUUGGGUCGAGUCCUUUUACAUCAGCAGUUGUCUGAGAAGCGAUGUAGAAGAGAUAAGCAGCAACAGCAGCAGCAGCACACUCUUGUUUUCGUGCUCCACCUCAUGUACUACACGAGGUGGAGCACGAAAACAAACAGUUGCCAGCUCUCAAAUCUGGGUGGUGUCCAAUAUCAUAGAAACUUUGACCCACUGACCUUAUCUCUUCGGUAAUUGCCUGACUAACCUCAUUUCAAUGAUGCACAGUCACCGGAAAUAUUAUCGUCUCGUAAAUCACGUAUCGUGAAGCGUCACUUGAUUGGUAUUUAAUAUGUCACGCUUGGCACUAUCUGUUACGGAUUUGUUAUGCUCCGCAAGCUUACCGACACUUUCUCUUGGUUUCCUUCUGUUGCGUUACUGAUUGCCUAUAUUUUUGAGAAAAUCGAUUUAUAUCCAAGAAAUAAGCAAGAAAAUUACUGAGAGAAAAUCCCUAAAAGUAGCCAUGCCCUAAAUAAUAUCCGAACACUCGAAAAUCAGGAACAUUUGUGAAAUUUUUAUAUAUUUAUAUUGUCUUGAAUUGUUUCGGUUAGCCAUUUUUCACUUUAAACUAUACGAAUGCGAAGUGUUAUCCAGCAGACAAUAUUUAAAUUACUUUAGAUAGCAU
rnacentral:lncRNA from 1 species